AUAAGGUUCAUAUAUAUAUAUAUAUAUAUAUAGAGAGAGAGAGAGAGAGUUGAGCUGGAAUACUAUUAAUAGUAUUUGAAUUUUUUUGCUAUUAAUUUUUUAACCGUUAAAUCUAUAUUUUAAUCAAUUUCACUCUUUAGAUCCUAUUAUUUAACGAACCACUCAUUCAACCCUAGAGGGAUCACCACAAAACCCUAGAUGACCAUUAUCAUCCUAACUUUAUAAUUUUUUCAUCUAAGGGUCAAAUACUAUUAAUAGUAUUUCAGCCCAAUUCUCUAUAUAUGUAUUUGCAAUUUUUCGAUAUCAUUUACCUAGCAAUUAAAAGGAUUCAAAAUCAAUAAUUUUUAACGGCUGAAAAUAAAAAUUCUAUAAAACGUGGUGAUAUAGCACUAAAAUUUUCGAUCAGAAAUAUUGAUCUUGUUGUAGAUAGUAUAAAGAAUUUUGUAUCAAAAUUCCAUCUAAUUUGAAUACUUCUAUAUCGUUAAACUUGAAAACGACAAAUAUCAACCAUUAAAAAUUAUUGAUUUUGAACGCUUUCGAUCACUAGGUAAAUGAUAUCAAAAAAUCGUAAAAAUUAUUUUCUAGAAACUUCAAAUACGCUAGAUAAAGUCUAACGGAGCCGAUCGUCGAUUCGAAAAUUUCAUCAUCGAAAACGGCUCAGGAGCACGGAGGCCUCCGUGCUCCUGAGAGCACAGCAGUCCUGCUCUCUCUCUCUCUCUCUCUAUAUAUAUAUGUAAAUAAGGUGCUUAAUGAAUAUUUUAUCCAUUAAAUAUAACACAUUAUUAAUUGAAUUCA
rnacentral:lncRNA from 1 species